rnacentral:misc_RNA from 1 species
CUGAGAGUACCGGGCUUCUGCCUGGCUACUUUUACCCAUGUUUUUGUAGCACCAAAAGUUUCCUCGGCGGGUUCUGCCCGCCGGUUGGACUCCAUUCAAACCCUUUGUAGUUGCAGUCAGCGUCAGAUAAACUUAAUAAUUA